rnacentral:rRNA from 1 species
GAACGCACCUUCGGGUGAGUGGCAGACGGGUGAGUAACGCGUGGGAACCUUCCCUGUGGUACGGAAUAACUUCGGGAAACCGAAGCUAAUACCGUAUAUCUCCUCCGGGAGAAAGAUUUAUCGCCAUAGGAUGGGCCCGCGUUGGAUUAGCUAGUUGGUAGGGUAAUGGCCUACCAAGGCAACGAUCCAUAGCUGGUCUGAGAGGAUGAUCAGCCACACUGGGACUGAGACACGGCCCAGACUCCUACGGGAGGCAGCAGUGGGGAAUAUUGGACAAUGGGCGCAAGCCUGAUCCAGCCAUGCCGCGUGAGUGAAGAAGGCCUUAGGGUUGUAAAGCUCUUUUGGCGGGGACGAUAAUGACGGUACCCGCAGAAUAAGCCCCGGCUAACUUCGUG